rnacentral:rRNA from 1 species
UACAGAGGGUGCAAGCGUUGUUCGGAAUUACUGGGCGUAAAGCGCGUGUAGGUGGCAUGGUAAGUCUCGUGUGAAAGCCCUGGGCUCAACCCAGGAAGUGCGCGAGAUACUGCCGUGCUGGAGUGAUGGAGAGGAUGGCGGAAUUCCUGGUGUAGCGGUGAAAUGCGCAGAUAUCAGGAGGAACACCAAUUGCGAAGGCAGCUCGCUGGGACGUUACUGACGCUGAGACGCGAAAGCGUGGGGAGCAAACAGG